AACAAAACCACUAGCUUUUUAUUGUCCAACCAACACACAGAAUGUGUGAAACUAAAACAGACAAAACUACGGUGUAUUAAAAAACAGGGGGAUAUGAAGGCAGGGACGAGGCAGAAGGUCAGGUUCAGCGGUGACUGAAGAAGCCUGGAGGUGGGCUAUGAAAUCAGCUGUAAGAUAUAAGAGGUGAAGGGAUAGGGGUUAAGGGGGAGGUCAGCGGUGACUGAAGAAGCCUGGAGGUGGGCUAUGAAAUCAGCUGUAAGAUAUAAGAGGUGAAGGGAUAGGGGUUAAGGGGGAGGUCAGCGGUGACUGAAGAAGCCUGGAGGUGGGCUAUGAAAUCAGCUGUAAGAUAUAAGAGGUGAAGGGAUAGGGGUUAAGGGGGAGGUCAGCGGUGACUGAAGAAGCCCUGGGGGUGGUUGUAC